rnacentral:tRNA from 1 species
GCGCUCGUAGCUCAGUUGGUUAGAGCAGUCGCCUUUUAAGCGACGGGUCGGGAGUUCAAGUCUCUUCGGGCGCACCA